rnacentral:rRNA from 1 species
CCUACGGGAGGCAGCAGUGAGGACUAUUGGUCAAUGGACGGAAGUCUGAACCAGCCAUGCCGCGUGCAGGAAGACGGCUCUAUGAGUUGUAAACUGCUUUUGUACAAGGGUAAACCUGAAUACGUGUAUUCAGCUGAAAGUACUGUACGAAUAAGGAUCGGCUAACUCCGUGCCAGCAGCCGCGGUAAUACGGAGGAUCCAAGCGUUAUCCGGAUUUAUUGGGUUUAAAGGGUGCGUAGGCGGAUUGAUAAGUUAGAGGUGCAAUGUCCGAGCUUAACUCGGGAACUGCCUCUAAUACUGGUGAUCUAGAGAGUAGAUGCGGUAGGCGGAAUGUAUGGUGUAGCGGUGAAAGGCUUAGAGAUCAUACAGAACACCGAUUGCGAAGGCAGCUUACCAAUCUAUAUCUGACGUUGAGGCACGAAAGCGUGGGGAGCAAACAGGAUUAGAUACCCUUGUAGUC